GACGCGGCACGUAGCCGCCUUGGGGGAGUGACGAAAUAAUUUAAUGUUGCGCAAUCGUAAGUCGCUGGGACGAAUCCCGCUUCGUCUGAAUGUAUCAAAUCCACAGGUGAAGGAAAAAAUUUAAGACUGCACCACUGGGAAGACCAACA